rnacentral:rRNA from 1 species
GAUGAACGCUGGCGGCGUGCCUAAUACAUGCAAGUCGAGCGAACAGACGAGGAGCUUGCUCCUCUGACGUUAGCGGCGGACGGGUGAGUAACACGUGGAUAACCUACCUAUAAGACUGGGAUAACUUCGGGAAACCGGAGCUAAUACCGGAUAAUAUAUUGAACCGCAUGGUUCAAUAGUGAAAGACGGUUUUGCUGUCACUUAUAGAUGGAUCCGCGCCGCACUAGCUAGUUGGUAAGGUAACGGCUUACCAAGGCGACGAUGCGUAGCCGACCUGAGAGGGUGAUCGGCCACACUGGAACUGAGACACGGUCCAGACUCCUACGGGAGGCAGCAGUAGGGAAUCUUCCGCAAUGGGCGAAAGCCUGACGGAGCAACGCCGCGUGAGUGAUGAAGGUCUUCGGAUCGUAAAACUCUGUUAUUAGGGAAGAACAAAUGUGUAAGUAACUAUGCACGUCUUGACGGUACCUAAUCAGAAAGCCACGGCUAACUACGUG